AAAGAACAGAGUUUGGAGGUCUGAACAGUUCUAGAGAAGUCAGGACUUGUGCUCACACAGGCUUUGCUUAUGGUGUUGCCCAUCUUGGGAAAUAGAGGCAGAAGGAUCAGAAAUUCAAGACCAUCCUCAGCUACAUAAUGAGUUCAAGGCCAGCCUGGACUACAGAAGACCCUAUCUCAAAAAACAAAAGCAGACAAAAAUGGGCUCUCACCACUUGCCCUCCAGACUCACAGAAGAGCAGCUUUUUUGGGCCUGUGCCCAUCUCCUGAAGCAGAUAAUGAACUCAGCUUCCUCAUCAAAACCUGCCUGUGUUGUUCGGAGGCCCUGCUACUCCUGCCUUCUCAGGCCUAGAAAGUAUCCAGAGUCUGUGAACACUGGUGUCUGAGAUCCAGUAGCAUUCUUGAAAAGAUAGAGUCUCACUAUGUAGCCCUGGUUAGCUGGCCUGGAACUUGCAAUCAGAAAUGAAAAUUCUGAAAAAAAAAAAA
rnacentral:lncRNA from 1 species